rnacentral:misc_RNA from 1 species
AUUGUGAUAUAUAUAUGUAUCUGUAGAAAAUGCAUUUGCUCACACUCAAAAUAUUAAACGACCUGGUUGGAAAGUGCAGUGGGCCACUUUGCAUUGGUGGCAUAAAACGUGUUUACACGGAAGCGUACAAAAAGAAUUGGCGCAUGCAAAAAUAAUUUCAAUGCUUCAGAAGUGUUUAUACAUGCAGUUAUUUAAACACAUGAAAAUACUUAAAUGUAUAAAUCUUUAAAAAUGUACAAAAUUUUUGAUUAUAAAGUAUUUUAAUUACAAUACUAAGAUUUUGCUGUCAUUUUUCAUUGACAGCUAUUGUUAUUUGAGAUUUAGCGAUUAUACUUUAGAGAUAUUAAAGCGUAUUUUUCUAUUUCAGGAGCGGUUAUAAGUACAGAAUCAGAUUUUUUCGAAUGAAAAUAAGACUUUUAUAAAAAUUAUUUCUUUGAAAAAAAGAUCAAUUUGAAUUAUAUAAAUACAUAUAAAACUAAAGCUAGGAUUUUAUUAUUCGUAAUAUGUCAAAAUAUAAAUUAACGAAUCUCGACUUCAGUCGCCUCUAACUUCGAUCGCUUGCAUGCUAUGCUCACUGAACAUACCCCAGUGUUUAGAAAUAAAUAAUUCAUGAAACUUGUCGCAAGCACGUGAGACUGCGAAUCGCGAGACUAGAAGCAGGUCAUCGAGUAGAGACCGAGGAACGAAAGCACGUGCAGCAGGAGAAAGGAUUUUUUUCGUGGCGGAAAUGCGGAAGUGCAAAAACGACCGGUCGUUCGAAAGAAAUCAACCAUGUGAUAAUGAGCACCAUGUUGCAAUGAUUGCGAUAUAUAGUCGUGCGAAAGAGAAAAGCAAUGUGGAAAACAUGAGGAAAGAAACGUACGAGUUCUUUCUCUAUCUCGCUCGCAAAACAGACGAUUUCAGCGAGCGCGUUGCGUGUACAUACGCGCGUGUGUCGCGAACGGUAUGAUUUCCGUGACACAAAGUAGCGAUCAAGUACGGAGGAUCGCAGUACGAUGUUCGCACGGUCCGUUGAAAUCUAUAAUUUUUUUAUAGAUCGCCAAGUUCGCGUCGGCGUUUAGUCUCGAUGAGAAGUAAAAGCGGAGGGAUAUGUACGAGUUAUUAUUGGGAAACUUCGCGAUUUCUCAAUGAGCCGCAGUGAAGAGGAUCUCUUCUUCAGACGCGGGUUCAAGUAGCAACUCACUCCGUCGUUCGUUCGCGAGCGGAGAUCGGUUUUCAGCGUUACUUGGCACGUGAACAUGCAACGAUGAAUUCGUCCGUGGUAAAUUGAAACGUAAUGACCGUCUCUCGAUGCCGAUGAAGCUAGUUUCGAUCGAUAGGCAAGUCACGCGUUUGUACCGUGUCAGACUUCCGUUUUCUGCACGAGACGCAAAGCUUCGAUACCGUUUCCGCUUUCUUAAACGCUUUCACGCGACGCGCAAUCGUAAGAGGGUAAGAAAUCGCAAUUAGCAAUUUGUACCCGACGACGGGAUAUUUUUUUCUUCUCUCCAUUAUUCCGGUCGAGAUCUUCUUCCGUGACAUCGGCGUUUACGCGGCAAUUACUAACCGAUCAUUUCGCUUUCACAUGACGGUUGAUUUUUCAGGAAUUUGCCUAAUGAGGAGGUGAAGGCGAGUAGUCGAGGAACGAAUGCAAAAGAGAAGCGUCACGGUAACGCUCCGGCGAUCUAAUAUUUGACGGUGUCUUAAAAAAAACAACACUGCGCUUUGCAUUAAUUUGCAUCGCAUUAAUAAGAUUACAGGUUCGCAACACGGAGUCGCGUUCUUAUCCUCGUAUCUCUCGCACGGAAGUGAAACUCCAUAAGAGUGUCCUGGAAACCUGUACGCGCAUGGCACAGAUUCACCGCCGCUGAAACCGAAACUUUUCGCGCGCGAUUCCCGCCGAUGAUAUACAUUAAACAUUACCCGAGAUAACGAGAGAAGAACAGACGAGACGUGUGUUACGUAAUACCUAAAAUGAGACAUGAUUCUAUUAGUUACAUCGUUUGCGUCAUCCGAUCAGAGCAUAAUUCCUCUAAUGGAAAAAGAAAUUUGCGAUAAGCGCGCAUAUGUGUGUGACUGUUAUCGCGAGUGAUUUCAUAUUAUGCUUCAUGCACUUCGCAUCACACGGGCAGACGCGCACACGUACGUGCACAUACACGCGAUAAAAAAAAAUUAACCGACGUGCGCUAUUCUUUCGUGCCAGACACAGGAAUUGAUUACGUGGCAUCCUAUGUCGAGUAAAUAAAACGAACGUAACGAGUACACCACGGGAUACCGUUAAAACGAGUAUUGGAUAUGUGAUGUUUCGCAGUAAGCACAAUUCAUACCUCCCCUUAAAAACAGCCGCAACAAUCGAUCCGCAACGAUUGAAUGGAUAUUUGAACGUUUCUUAAGUGAACGUAAUUCUAAGCGAAUCUCUCUAAGAAUUGCUUCCCUACAUGGAGAAAAUUUUACGGUAAAAAUACUAUGUACGAUGGUAGCUACAGACCAUAAGAAAUUCCAGAGAAUUAUACUUUAUAGGUAAAUACCAUGGUGAUUUGAUGGAAAAACAUAGUAAAAAUUUGCAUAAUUACUUCCUUGGUUCGCGCUUACUGUUUACCACAGUGAUGUUUACUAUAAAAAUUUCUCCGUGUAUUUUCCUACCCAUCUUACAGCCUCCAUUUCAAAGCGAUUGUACCGAGUAUAUAAUUUUUCGCAGUAAACAAAAUUUAUAUCUUCGCUUCGCUGAAUGGAUAUUUGCCGAUAUUUGAUGUUAAGCGGACGUAAUUUCUAAAAGUAUGGUCUAGGAGUCACUUUCCUAUUUCUACUUUCCUAAAUCCUACAUUUUUGAGGAUGUUUCUCUAGCAAAAUUGACUCGAAUAGCUGUCGCGGACGAAGGUGUGAACAAUUUAUUUGGCCGUCUAUAAUUAGCAGUGAUAAGUUACUUUGUCCACAACAUACUUUCUUGUAAUGUGGCAAAACACAACAAACGAAUAACGGAAAGAGUUAUUUGACAAGCGACGAGCUUUAUUUCGUCAUCGUAAUCAAAAGGAAAGUUUCGGCAUUGAAUUCGCUAUUUCUUUUACGAUUUAAUCUGUGAACUCUGUAUGUUUGCUCUCUCCCCUUCUCCCCUUCUCCACCAUUAUCUGUGCAUUUUUGCUACAUGAAUCGAUUCUGAGUGGAUAAAAAUACGCGGAAAGUUUAGAUAAUGAUUAAUUAACUUUGUUACACGGAUAUGACUUCAGCAAUGACUUCACACACGACUUCUAAGAAGUGAGAUAAGUCAUUUUUGUUUCUUUCCAACUUUCUUUAUUUGAUAAGUGCCAUGCCGUGUAUAGUGUCACCCAAGAAUCAACUUUAUGUUUACUGUCGGUACGUAACGUUAUACAUCAUUACACUAGACCAGUAUAAUGGUAUCAUUCCCAGUAAUGAUCACUUUAAAUAAACGCUUUAUAAUCGCGUGUUGAGCGUACCUUGACGAGUUCAGGCAAAACCUACAAUCCAUUAUCUCAAAUAUACCUGGUACGAGAAAAUAUUAUAUUCAAUCGCGAAAGCAAUCGCAACAUUAAUAUGGAAGCAAUCUUCACCUGUCGUGCAAGCACAUAUAAAUAAAAAGCAGCUUCGAGGCUUUUGGAAUUAUUAUGCGCUACAUUGUGAUCUAGGCGAGUCUUUGCACUGUUCAGAAAGCGAACUCUAAUUUGCCAGCAGAUUCGAGCAGAAUCGUCUUCUGUCAGCUGAGCUUGUUGACAUAAUCUGACAGUGGAUUGCCGUCAUAAAUAGAAUCUUCACAAUCAUUUAAAUAAUAUAUUCCAAGUCAGGUAGUUACGGAAUAACAGAUUCUCUUUCGUUUCAAUCGGUCACAUCAUUAUAUUCUGCUUACAGAUUCUGUUUUACGUUUUCGCUUUUGGCACUUUACUGGGAUAAUUUAUGGCAAACACUUUGCAAGAUCUAUUUUUGACUUACCCAUCUGAGUACGAUAAAAUAAUAAUAAUAAUCUUUCUUAUAAAUUAUGGCCAACAUCAAACGAUCUUCACGCCACAAGAAAUAUAAAAUAUCUUGUCUAUGUGUGUUUAUUCAUCACUUAUUCUUCUGCAUCAUUAUAAUCAUAAUUCUUUCGUCAUGUAAAUAACAGACAAAUCAGUGAACAAGAAUGCGUACAAUUUUUCCUGUAUAUAUAAUUUCCUAAUUUGAUAAAUCAGUGGACAAAACUCUUAUAAAAAUGUAAUACUGGACUACUAACAACAAUGCUUUUAAUACUUAAAAUAAGUAUUAAUUACUGGACAAUUUAAUACUGUCCAGUAUUGCAUUUUUUAAGGGAAAAGCCACUCUACUUAACCAAAUAAUUUUCAAAUUUGUCGCACGAUGCAAGUGACUGAGAUUUUUUCUUCAUAUUUACUCGCAUUGUGACGUACAAUUCGAAAUAUUCGGUAAUAAGAGAGCGGUAGCGGCCGCCUACCAUGCUGGAGGAUCGUCUGGCGUCCAGCAUUGACCUAACCUCACUUUCGCGGACUCGAGAAAUCCACGUUCUACUCUCAUGGAGACGUCGACGCGUUCUCGAAACGAUCGGCGAGCGUUACAUCACUCGCGCAUUAUCUUCGGUGACGCACGCGACCGUGUGACGCGUUCAAAUCUCACCUGCAGUUCCCGGAACGGGAGGAGAACGGCAGUCUUCCCUCUUAGAUUCCGGAGGUCGAUAGGUGGACGCCACGGCCGUCGUCGGGUGACGAUUCAUGCGAUUGACGCUUCGUGACCUGCGAGCGGAGGAAGAAUCGACGGCGUUUUAUUAGAAUGCCGGUCGUGACGCUCGGAUGACAGGUAUACGACAUGAUGGAGCGGGGUCGCAAGGAGCGGCGGCUACGCGACCGAGGAUGCCAUAUCUCCGACCUCCCGACGACGACGAGCGAGGCGUUACAUCGUUUUCAGGAAGGAAGGAAGGAAGGAAGCAACGACGAGGUUAUCGACGACAUACCGGCGGAUCGAUAAACAACGAACUCGGACAAGCUCGGCGAUAUCGCUCGGCGUUUCUUCGAUCGAUCGGUGUUCACGGCGGGUUCUUUUUUCCCACCGAAUGCGUCUCGAGAAGUUUGUUUAUGUAAGCAAAUAUCUCGAGCUCGCAGUAACGCUCUACGUGACAAUUUCUUCCCCCAAUUCCAAGGAGUUCUGUCAACGCAAAUCGAAUCCGUUCCUCCGCGCGUCCUUUUUCUCGUCGACCGGCGAACGAGGCGCGCGCGACUGGUGUGUAUAUAGGUACGUUGGAUCGCGUUCGAACGUCUGUCUCUUUUUUUUUUAUCUUUUUGUGUGUAUCUUUCGCAUGUCCCUCGUCGCGACGUAACGGUCGCGAGGAAGAGCAACCUUCCUUCGUUAUUCACUCCGCGGAAAGAGACUUCGUAAGUUGGAUGGGUGCAACGCUGUCGAGCAAUGCACGCUAAUGCCCCCGUUAAUUAAUCCCUCUCUUUCCAAAUCAACGCGACGUCCGCGGCGAAUCAAAGGGGAGCUUUUGACCUAACGUUUCCCUCUGACUUUCCUCGCCGUAAUCUCCGUCUCGAUAAAGAGGUCAGCAAACCCCCGUGGACAUCAAUAACAACGAAGAGACUCGUCUCUCAACCGGCACCUAGAGAACUUAAGCAGCGGUCGUCGCGUAACCGUUUUUCUCCAGGGACGGAAGCGUAAAGAGUAAUAAAACUUCUUCGUUACCCACGUGACAAAAGUUUUCUCUCUUUCAUCUGGGCGAAGAAAAAGUCACGCGAUAUCGCCAUCCCAGACGCACGCCCUUUUUUUGUGCGUACUCGUACGAUCGGACGACGGGGCGAGGGAGGAUCGUGUUGGACGGCGGGCAGAAGAAAAGGACGGAGGAGGAUCGAAGGAGCCGGUGUCGGCACUCGGAUAACUCUGCUCACCUGAUGGCAGUCCAGUCGGCGAAUUACGGCCUUCGAAGAUGCGUUCGGGAUAAGGAGAAUGCGGCCGGCAGCAAGUCUCUCGUCCUGCCGGCGGCGCCUCGCGAAGCGGAGCAGAUGGCACAGCGACACGUGUCACACAUCCAAUCGCGUCGGGCUCUGCCGGGUGACUGGCGACCGACAUCUGUACGCGCCGGCGACAAACACACGCCGUCCGAGCGGGGAGGGAGGUGACGUUUUCUUCGUUGCGGGUGUAGGGAGGAAUAUAUAUAUAAGAUAUUAUGUAUAUACGUGUGCAUAUAGGUAUGUAAUAUUAAAUUAAUUUGGGUGACCUCGAUCACACUCCGAUUAAUUUGUCAGGCGACACAUGUAUUACUACGUCAUAAGCUCAUUAAUUGUUAGUUUAAUACGGAUAAUGGAAAGAAAGAUUAGAGAUAAUGUAAUUAAAUUCGUAUUUAAAUAGAUCAAGCAUUCAAACUUAAUGUUUAAAAAAUUUCUUUGCGCGAGAUAAAUUUCUAUAUGCGGGUUGUAAUCUCGUCGAGAUUUACGGAAUUUCUAAAAAAAAAAAAAUCAUGUAAUAUUGUAUAGAUCAAUACUAUAAAUUUUAUCUAAUUGUAAGUGUAUAGCUAUGGCAACACGUUUAAGGCCAAGUGUGCACCUACAGAUUUGGAGGUCGGCGACUCAAGGCUUCGUAGUUGAUAUGGUAACAAGAGUUACUCGCUCCGGUUCGAGCCUGGCUUUCUACUACAAGAACACAACGAAAGUAUAGUCAAGUAUAGUUA